rnacentral:rRNA from 1 species
UACGUAGGGGGCAAGCGUUGUCCGGAAUCAUUGGGCGUAAAGAGCGUGUAGGCGGCCCGGUAAGUCCGCUGUGAAAGUCCAGGCUCAACCCUGGGAUGCCGGUGGAUACUGUCGGGCUCGAGUCCGGAAGAGGAGUGUGGAAUUCCUGGUGUAGCGGUGAAAUGCGCAGAUAUUAGGAGGAACAUUAAUGGCGAAGGCAGCACUCUGGGACGUGACUGACGCUGAGACGCGAAAGCGUGGGGAGCAAACAGG